GAGGGUGUAGCUCAGUGGUAGAGCACAUGCUCAGCAUGCACCACGUCCUAGGUUCAAUCCCCAGUAUCUCCA
rfam:Camelus ferus unplaced genomic scaffold scaffold99297, whole genome shotgun sequence.